CAUAACUGUGUGCACUUAGUAUCUUGUCUUAGCUGCACAAUGGCUCCGUGAAAGCAAAAUAAUUAUUCCCACUUUAUGGAUGAAGGACUCUGACUGGCUCCCACACCUGCCUCGUUACUGUCUACAGACUUCGUAAAGCUUUAAAUGUGACACUUAAAUGCCUUUGUAUUGGAGUUUUUGCUUAAGCUUUUGAGUAAACUGACGUUCAAGGUCAUUUCUAGGUCAUCAUACGUUGGUCUCUAUGUCUCUAAAGCAUCUUUUGGUCCCAUGAAAAAAUUUAAAGAAGUAUUUGAGUAAU
rnacentral:lncRNA from 1 species